UCGUCCUGAGACACCGUGUGUAAUACAACAAAAACAAUACAGAGAAGGUUAGCAUGGCCCAUGCCCAUAGAUGACACGUACGCUCAUGACGUCAUUAAGCUUAUC